GCCUUGGUGGUGUAAUGGUCAGCACACUCGGCGCGUAUUCGAGAUGUCCAAGGUUCGAGUCCCGGCCACGGCA
rfam:Stegodyphus mimosarum contig40968, whole genome shotgun sequence.